rnacentral:rRNA from 1 species
GUAACGCGUAUCCAACCUGCCCUUCACCACGGGAUAACCCCGGCGAAAGUCGGACUAAUACCCGUAUGUUGUCCAUUGACGGCAUCCGAUUUGGACGAAAGGCUUGGCGGUGAGGGAUGGGGAUGCGUCCGAUUAGCCAGACGGCGGGGUAACGGCCCACCGUGGCGACGAUCGGUAGGGGUUCUGAGAGGAAGGUCCCCCACACUGGAACUGAGACACGGUCCAGACUCCUACGGGAGGCAGCAGUGAGGAAUAUUGGUCAAUGGGCGUAAGCCUGAACCAGCCAAGUAGCGUGCAGGACGACGGCCCUAUGGGUUGUAAACUGCUUUUAUGCGGGAAUAAAGUGGCCCACGUGUGGGUUUUUGCAGGUACCGCAUGAAUAAGGACCGGCUAAUUCCGUGCCAGCAGCCGCGGUAAUACGGAAGGUCCGGGCGUUAUCCGGAUUUAUUGGGUUUAAAGGGAGCGUAGGCCGCGCCUUAAGCGUGUUGUGAAAUCCGGGUGCUCAACAUCCGGCUUGCAGCGCGAACUGGGGCGCUUGAGUGCGCAGAAAGUAGGCGGAAUUCGUGGUGUAGCGGUGAAAUGCUUAGAUAUCACGAGGAACUCCGAUUGCGAAGGCAGCCUACUGUAGCGCUACUGACGCUGAUGCUCGAAAGCGUGGGUAUCGAACAGGAUUAGAUACCCUGGUAGUCCACGCGGUAAACGAUGGAUGCUCGUUGUCGGCCCUUUGGGUCGGUGACCAAGCGAAAGCGUUAAGCAUCCCACCUGGGGAGUACGCCGGCAACGGUGAAACUCAAAGGAAUUGACGGU